rnacentral:lncRNA from 1 species
ACUCAACAGCAUUAGUACAACAUAAUCAAAAGCUCUGUCCUAGACCGAAACGUACAAAAGGCAUAAGACAUCUCGCCAACUAAGCCGCUUCAUCUUCUACAGUAACAUUAUUUGAAAGUUGAGAGAGGCAGUACGUACUCUAUGAGAAAUCAUCUCUUUAUUCGGAGGUUUCAAAAGCAUUGACACUGUUCUCAGCUUCAUCAAUCAACUGGACUACCUGAGCUACACCAGCUGCAAUUUCCUUAUUGAUGCUUCCACUGGGCAUAUCGAACGUCCUUCUACGAAAGGAAAUCGAUCUUUUAGCAGGUUGGGGAUCAACCACAUCAAGCAUGGCUUCUAGUUCGAUUACCAUUGAUUUCUUGGCAGUUCGCACCAUCACAUCAACUCCCUGCAGAUGUACAAUGUAUCAACACAUUGUAUUUGUAUAUCAGGUCAUAUGUUUAUUUAUCUCGCAAUCAAGUGAAUAUGUAUGCAUCAGACAAAACCUAUUCCUCCUAGAACAUCUCAAAAUCAUUAAAAAUCUCCUCGGGGCAAUUAACUUGGAAAAUUGCAAAUAAUGCGCAGAGUCAAAGGAUACAACUUUUAUCAUGGAAUGAAGGAUGGAAGAGAACCUCCUCUAUCAUAAAACAACUAUUUGAAUACAAUGAGACCCCAGAAGCCGUGAAAGAAACAGAACUCUGAGUCUUAAAUAAUUUGUUUUGAUUUUACAAAGUCGAGUUCCGUGUUGUUCCAAAGUUAGAUAUCAAACCAAACCAAACCAAAUUGUGUACUUCUCUCCUGGGUAGCCUUAAAAAAGUUAUAGUUUUCUUGAAUUAGAUGAAAGCUGUUCUUUGAUUACCAUUCUAAAACUAGAAAACAUCCCCCUAAAGAUCAAACUUUUUAUUUAAUAUAAAUACAAAAUAAAAUAAAUAUAGUUACAAGCUCUGAAAGUAGCAACGUAACUUGGAAGCAUGCAAAGCAAAAAUUCACAUGAUAUAACUCUUCAAAGUAAAUAAAUAAAUGGAAACGAGGUAUAAGGUUGAGCAACAUUUUUUUGGGCUGAACGUGUGAAAGAAGACAUCAAAAAACAUGAGACUAAAAAAGACGGAUGAGCCAGAGAAAUGACUCUACAUGAAGUGAGCGAUGAAGUUUCUUUCAAAGAAAGAGGAAGACAAUAUCUUGGUCAAAACUCAAAACUCAAGCGAUUGAUUACAAUCAAGACAAAGCUGUCAAUCAAGGACACAAUUAGUAUAGGACUAUUGAAGUCAGAAGAAAAGAAACAAGACUAAAAGGGUCUUAGUAGGUGUAUUACUCUUUGAAUCAAAAAGGUUCUCCUAAAUAAAAAAACUUGGAAGGAAAUCAAACUGUAGAAAACAAAGCUUAUAAAAAGAAAUGAGGGUACACCUACAUGCUGAGAAAUACAUGAUUAUUCUAUGAUGUUGGAUUAUACCUAACGCUUACACUUGUGAUAGUUUUAAUCUAAUCGAAGUCAAAUCAUAACAAAGAGUUGGAAUGAACGGUAACAUGUUAAAAAUAUAUAUGAUUUUGUAGAAUAAAACUCAGCAUUUUAAAAUGAUUAAGAACAUUAUAGUUAUAACAUAUUAACGAACAUAAACAUAUGCCUCAUGAGUUAAUUUACAAGUAGGAAGAAGAAAGAGAUCUUAACCUCAAUUGCAUCGACAGUGAGAAGCAAGACAAUUAUUUUUUCACUGAACCUUUGGCGCUCCUCUGCAUCCCGAGCCAGCCGCUGAGUGUAAGCAAAAUUAUUGAAAGCUUCCCUGAUCUCCUUCAACUUUGUCUUGGCAACUGACAGAUCUCUAAGAGCACGAAGAACCUUUGACCUGUGGACUAGGUAUUCUCUGAAAUUUAUUUGAAUGAUAACAGCUGCAUCUUGAGGAGACAACUCCUUCUUCUUACCCUUCUUAUUUUCCACAACUCUAGUUCUCCUGGCAAAGGCCUUUCAUCACAAAAACACAUUCGGUAAGUUCCCUAUAUAUUUCAUUUAACAGUAAAGCUCGAUAAUUCAAUUCUGCAAAUGAUAAACUACAUGACGCAUCCCUAAAUGAUGUAUACAAGUUUAUUUGCGCGUUUUAGGCAUUGCUGAUCAUUUUUCUGUAUCCUUCCUUACCCCACAAUAACUUCCUGGUAUUUUACACAGCAUAUGCAUUUUGCUAAACAGAGUCGAAGCUGUAGAUUAGAAAAUUAAACAUGGAGCUGAGUUCCAUCACGAUUGAUGAAAUUUUAAAUAUUCAGAAAAUUGCAUAUUAAAAUUCAGAGAAUCAAAUCAUUGUUUCUUAACACAUUUACCUAAUCAAUCAUAAGUGGGGUCUCGAAGGGGCUUAGAAAUUCCAUCCUCUACCACGUUUUCAAGGCACAAAAACUUCCUACCAUUCUUCUCUAUUACAAUCUACGGCUUGCUUAAUAAUAUAUUUUUACAGGAAACGAAUCCCUUCUCUAGUUUUAAGCAUCCAUUGAAAAGGCAAUCCAUUCUCAACCAAAUCAUCCCUUCCCCUUCCCCAUCCCAAAAGUUCCUGUAUCCUGUUCAUAUAAUUAAACCAAUUUCAAGGGGAAAAUAAAUGGUAGAAAAGAAAAAAAGAGAAGACAAAAUCCUAGAAUGUCACCAGAUUUUGGAAGUAUUGUGAAAAAUUGAUCAUUUAAUGUCAAUACCUGUCUUAAAACGACAGCUCCUUGAUCAUUGGUGUCUUCAAUCUCAACCACACGCGUCUCACUCCCAACCUUCUUUCCCUUCUUUUUCUUCUCCUCUUUCUUCUCUGUACUCUCACUUCCAUUUCCACUCGAAACCUCCACAGUGUACUUCCUAAUCGGAUCCCUCUCAUCCUUUCCUUUAAUCUCAGCACUCCACUUGUAGUUCUGCAAAACCCCACCAUUCUUCCCCUCCUUGUUCUUCUUCCCAUCUUUAAUCUCAG